rnacentral:lncRNA from 1 species
CCAUUACAUCCGAAAGUCCAACCGCUUUGAGAAGCGUCACAAGAACAUGUCUGUGCACCUGUCCCCCUGUUUCAGGGACGUCCAGAUUGGCGACAUUGUCACUGUUGGAGAGUGCAGGCCCCUGAGAGCAAGACUGUUCGAUUCAAUGUGCUCAAGGUCACCAAGGCUGCUGGCACCAAGAAGCAGUUUCAGAAGUUCUGAGGGGACUCUAGCCAAUGCCCUAGAACAAAUAAAAGUUAUUUUCCAACUUCCAAAAAAAAAAAAAAAA